AAUCAACGCUGGCGGCGUGCCUAACACAUGCAAGUCGAACGCGAAAGCCCCUUCGGGGGUAAGUAGAGUGGCGUCCGGGUGAGUAACACGUAGGUAAUCUGCCUUCGGGUGGGGAAUAACCAGUCGAAAGAUUGGCUAAUACCGCAUAAUGCAGCGGCACCUAAUGGUGAUUAGUUGUUAAAGCGGGGGAUCGUAAGACCUCGCGCCUGAAGAGGAGCCUGCGGCAGAUUAGCUAGNGGUGAGGUAAUGGCUCACCAAGGCUUCGAUCUGUAGCUGGUCUGAGAGGACGGCCAGCCACACUGGCACUGACACACGGGCCAGACUCCUACGGAGGCAGCAGUGGGAAUUUUGGGCAAUGGGCGAAAGCCUGACCCAGCAACGCCGCGUGAGGGAGGAAAUCCUUCGGGAUGUAAACCUCACAAGCAAGGGAAGAGAGCUCAAGGCCGAAUAAGCUUUGAGUCCGACGGUACCUUGCGUAAGCCACGGCUAACUACGUGCCAGC
rnacentral:rRNA from 1 species